UCAGCAGUGAAACGAUGCAUCGCCGAUGGUAGUGUGGGGUUUCCCCAUGUGAGAGUAGGUCAUCGUCAAGA
rnacentral:rRNA from 3 species